rnacentral:rRNA from 1 species
UACAGAGGGCCCAAGCGUUGUUCGGAUUCACUGGGCGUAAAGGGUGCGUAGGCGGUCGGGUAAGUCUGAUGUGAAAUCUCACAGCUUAACUGUGAAACUGCAUUGGAUACUAUUCGGCUUGAGAGUUGGAGGGGGGACUGGAAUUCUUGGUGUAGCGGUGAAAUGCGUAGAUAUCAAGAGGAACACCAGUGGCGAAGGCGAGUCCCUGGACAACUUCUGACGCUGAGGCGCGAAAGCUAGGGGAGCAAACAGG